CACGGCUGAAGCCAUCAGGGCCCCGGGGCAGCCGGAGCACAGGCACGGGAACGUUCACUGGAGUUUGCAUUGUCUUGGCUGAGUGAAGAAAAAGAACAGGAAGUCGUUACAUGGCUCUUCCCGUCUCUGCACCUGAACUGUGAGCCCCUUGCAAGACAGGACCCUGCAGAUAGACCAGGGAUGUGAACCAGGGCUACUCAGUCUGGACACUAUUGACAUUUGGGGCUGGAUAAUUAUCUGCUGUGUUGUGGGGGCUGUCCAACGCAUAGGUGUAGGGUUUGAGCAGCAUUCUAGCCUCUGCCUCCUAUUAAUAGAUGCCAGUAGCAUCCCAUCUUCAAGUUGUGACAACCAAAAAUGUCACCACUGGUGAACAGUGAAUUGGUGAAUGUGAAUUGCAUCUCAAUACAGUUUUUUUUUAAAGUCUC